CUUCUUUGCACUGAUUUAAAAAAAAAGAUCAAUCGCAAUACUAUAGACUGUUACAAAUCCAGUUUAUUUGCCACUGCAAGACAUCUUUACACUGCAAAGGUGGAACAGAAGUUGUAUCUGACAUGGCAUUUAUGCUCAUUUACACAUAUUUAAAGCUGUUCAUGUACAUGUAUUUACACAAAAAAUGCAUAAUGCGAAUAAAAAACAACUCAUUAGAGAGUGAAGCUGCAAUAUCGUCACAAAAUCAUUAUUGUUGAUUAAUAUUGCUCCUGAUAUUGUAAAAGUGAUCAUUAGCUACUGAUGUUUCUGUAGUGGAAAAAGCAUGUCAUCUUCUACAGACAAAGCAAUAAAAAUAGUUUUUGAGUUUAGUAGAAAAUUAAGACUUCACAUUGGUUAGUUUAGUAGCUGGUGUCCUGCAGAUUGUAGCUCAAACCAACUCCUGCCUGGAAGUUUUUAGUAAUCCUGGAGAGUUUGAUUAGCUGAUUAGGGUUGCUGUGUCCGAAAUCGCCCCCUAUACCCUUAAAUACGGCAAUAUUUGAGGGGACAGCCAUUUGUAGUGGUGUCCGAAACUAUAGUGGACGAUGUUGAGUGCACUCAUUCAAUACCAUAAUGCACUGUGAGAGUCGCGCGCUGAAUGAAUUCCCGUGUCUCGCCAGGAGAUGGCGCCCGCAGCUGAAUCAAUCAUCCAUUCAUUUUCCAAACCGCGCUGGUCCAACAUAAUAUCAUACAGGUAUAAAUUCCUUUUUAAUUGAUCAUUAAAUCGUUUAAUUAAGGUUGGUUUAUACAUGUUAGUUUCCAUGGCAGAGUUCAACAUAAAUAUUCAUUAAUACUGGACCUACCAGUUUGCUACGUUUCAAAUUAUUAUUAAACGCAGCAGAUAAGGGAAAGGAAAAAAAUAUUAUAUAAAUAGGAAUUCAAAAAAAAAAAAAAAAAAAAUUAUAGGGAAAUGAUAUUAUGUUUAAGUUUAUGGUUCACUGCUCAACCUAAACUGGUCUGGGUGUGUCCAAAACUCACCUAAAAUCAGACCAGUACUUAUGGUCCGUAAUUGGGCCGAAUGUGGCUUAAUGUGCCAGGCCAAAUCCGCACAUCCAAAGCCUAGCUAAAUCUGGCAACCAUUACUGGGCCAGAGCUGUCAGAACACAGUGAGCCGACACCGACGCGCUAAUACCUGGUAGUGUUGCAACAUGUAGGGAGUCACCCGGCUCAUCACUACAACUGCGUCUCCAGUAAAGCAGAACAACAACACUUUUAUUUGGAGUGUUGAGUGUUGAAAAUGAAGCUUCUCUUUAAUUUGCUCGCGGUGAUCUUGUUUUUACUCGACCAGGGUGUUACUGCUGCUGAGCUAGAACACAUCGAGUGAGAAAAGGGAGAAACUGUCACUUUACAUACUGGUGUAAUAAGAAAACCAAGUGAUGUGAUCAUCUGGUAUUUUAAUGACAAUGUUGUUACUCCCACGAAAACCUGUACAGAUGUUCAGUGCAAAAAUGGCGAUUGGAGAUUCAGAAACAGGCUGGAGCUGGAUCAUCAGACUGGAUCUCUGACCAUCAGAGACCUCGCAUUCACAGACUUUGGAGUUUUUAAACUAAAGAUCAACAGCAGCGUCAAAAAGAGUUUCAAAGUUAAUGUCAAUCAUGAGUACCAUUUAGUCAUUGAGUGCCUUCUUUUGCAGUUUAAAGACCUGGGUAUACUUAGUUUUUUUUUAUGCGUACACUAGUGUACGCGCACAGUCAAAUGCACAGCCUUGCAAAGUAUACUUCAUUUGACUCGUACACAUAGACAGGCAUUUGAUGCAUCUCUCACCACGAGUUACAACCCAUAUAAACAUCUUUGUAUUCUUUCAUGCUAGAGUUGUACAAAUGAGGGUACUUUCUAACCUCUUCACACAAUCUCUCGUCUAUAUAGGCCUCUAUCGCGCUGUAGCUUGCAUGCAUUCCGGUCUGUUCUGUUUAUGCAGUUUUUCUUUGACUACCUUGUGAAUCGACGCCCCCAGGGCACAGUUGCCACCUUGUGGAUAAACUAAUUACCGCAAAAACAAUCAAAUGCACGUGUGCGACUUGCCUGUACAAGUACGCACGGUUACAAAAUCUGGUGGUGCUCGUACAGUACACGAAUACUCCUCUGAUGACGAAAUUCGCGUCAGGCGUACUGUACGCUGACCCUCGCGUACACGCAAAAAGUGAACUAUACUUUGGGCUUUAGGAUGCAGUACAAUAAUUUUAUACCUACACUGUGGCCUGUUUGACAAAUUAAGUCAUGACUCAGAAUUAAAAUAGAAUUUAGAUAAUCUUAAUUACCUAUACAUGCAUGUAAAGUUACACGAUUUUCACAACAAAUGUGCUGUUUUUAAGACUUUCAAGUCAAUACACCAUCAAUCCUUCUUCCAAAACGUGUUUUUGUUUUACCCUGAUUCAUUAUGGUAAGCCUAUUAUAAGUGUUUAUAUUUUAGACCUGUCAGGAUGCUUUUCGUGUAAAAUUCCAAAAUAUGAGUAAAAAUCGUAUCGUUAUCCCCAUGAAUGAAAUUUGAAAUGUGGGUCUUUUAUGAAGUGAAUUUUACAUAAAAAGCUGUUUUUUAAAAACCUAUUUAAAAAAAAAAAAAAAAAAAAAUAUAUAUAUAUAUAUAGUAGUCAACAUUUGAAGUGGAUCAAAAAAGUUAAUCAAAGUUGUCCUAAGAACUAAGUUGCCUGAGUGUAUACCCCAAACAAAGACCGCAUAAGGGUUAGCAUUGACAAAGUAGAAAGGUGUAAUUAUCAGUCUAAUUAUCAGUAAAAUCAGUUAUCAGUCAAUCACUUGUAAUAAUGUCUGUCUGUCAUUUCAGCUCCAGAUCUGUCUUCAAGAACUGUAACAGCAAUAUAUGCUGGCAUGUUUGCUAGUGUUGUUGCUUUUUAUUUUGUUGUCUGUGUUUCUGUUAUGCUGGUGGCUGUAAUCAUAACUGGUUGUGUGAUUUACUGUUGCCACGGAAAAGGAGAGAAUGGCAAGUAUUACACAAGCAAUAUGUGAUUUAUUGUGCUAAAUGUUUUAAGUAAAAAUGUGGAGAUUCUGUAUGCAUUUUUAUUCUAAUUUACCAAAGUAAUGUGUGUUUAAUUGAGUUUGUUAUUAUUGUUUAAACAGACAUCAGGAUACAGCGCAAUAAUUAGGGGAAUUACAUACAAGACUCACCUCCUAAUCAGGAUGAAGCUUUAUUGAUGACUUCUGCUAAUGUGACGUCCCUUAAUCAAACUGAGAUUGUGACAUCACUCUAACACUAAAAGAACACAUACAAUAGAACUGACUGUGUUUACACAAAUACCUGUUUAAGAGCAGCUGUCAUUCAAAUAACAUGCAGGUACUGUUUUGAGUCUGCACUACCAACACUGUUGUCGUUACUGUUACAGUUACUGGAAGAGAGUGGUAUAAUGUUGCUGAUGUACCUUCCAGGCUCUUUUUUUAAAACUAAUUUACCAUGAUACCUUCAUUGGUAACUGGAUGCAUAAAGGAUACGGGCUGUGUUAAAUAUUGUUAAUUCUUGUGAUGUUUGUCAGGAGAAAUAAUGUCUACAAAUGUGUGAUGAUUUCAUAAAACACUUACAUUUUUUUAAUACUCUAUUUUAUAGUCUUUAUUUAGUCUUCAUAUAUUUGUUCGUUAUUCAUCUGUGAACAAAACAUCUGUGAUAUUUAUAUGGGUGAACAGUAUCUUUCAAAGUCUUUCCUUGUAUACUCUGCUUGACCAGGCUUAAUUGAUGUUAAAAUGCAUUUUGCAGAUACUUCAGCAUUUUUUCCACAGUAGUUUUGCACCAAUUUUGUUUUAGUCAGAGUGCCAGGUUUAUUUAAAGAACUGGACAUGGAUGUUUGAUUUUCACAUUUAAUUUAGAUUUUCAGAAAUAUUGUAAGGCUGUCAAACGAUACAAAAUAAAAGUUUGAGUUUGCAUAAUA